rnacentral:tRNA from 1 species
UCCUCGAUAGCUCAGUCGGUAGAGCGCCGGACUGUUAAUCCGGAGGUCCCUGGUUCGAUCCCAGGUCGAGGAGCCA